AAAAAUUUUACUUGAAUUUACUCCGUGUUUAUGUGUUUUUAUUUUAACCAAUAAUGCAAUCUUCCAGAUAUGGCAGUCAACAUCAACAAUCUACAGAAAGACCUGAAGGAGCAGUUAGAAGACAUGGCAGUCAACAUGAGCAAUCUACAGAAGAACCUGAAGGAUCAGAAUAACAAGUUUGAAGUCAUCAAUAAAACUCUUUUGGAUGAAAUAAAAAAACUGAAAAUCAAGAU